rnacentral:ncRNA from 2 species
CGAAAGCCAUGUAUUGACCACUGGGAUAUUUAUUCCGGGAAGGUGUGGUGAGUAGGGUGAUCCAAGAGCCAGAAGACCUGCCUGGUUUAUAAGUGCAAG